AUCGCCUCUAAUUGAGUACAGCUCAAAGGGAAGGGGUGCUGAUACUGCUGGAAUUAGAAAUAGGAAAUAAACGCCCUGGGUCUGGCUCUUACCUUGUUCUCACACUCAAGUCCUGGCUCUAACACUUACAUGCUCUGUGACCUUGGGCUAAUCACUUCCCCUCUCUGAGCCUCAGUUUCCCUGUUUGCCAAAUGGGGGUGAUAAUCCCACCCUCUCUCCAAUGCAAUGGAACUGUGGGUGAGGGAGCCCUCCCCUGCCUGGUGCAUCUAGCUCCCAUGCCUGCACCUCGCUGAAACUGCUCUCACCAACCCCAUCCUACUACGAAGUCUUGUGGGCCCUUUUCAUAAAGUUCUUAAAGUCACAUGACCUCUAGGUCAAGUUGGAUGCUCCGGAACACACCAUUCUAGACACUGCUCAGUGUUUCCUCUUCCUCCCCAGCUGCCUCUACCUAUUUUGUUCCCUUGAAGGUACAGUUUCAAACUGAGAAGCAUCACACCUGGUUAGAGCUGCACUUUAGGAAGGUCAUUUUGGCUUCAGAGUGGCACACAGGUGGAGAAGAGAAAGAGCUGGCCGGGAAUCUGAGUUCUUGGCACAGGAAAUAACGUGACUCAACAAGAGAGAGAGGCCAAUGGAGAACAUGGCAAGAACAAAGAAUCCAAAGAAUCCUCUUUGAGCCACAGCACAAAGGCGGACCCAGAGCUCACUGCACUUCCUGGAAGACGGGCUUUCUCAUGAAUUUUCGGCAGGACUGAUAAAUUAUGGCCCACAGCCCAAAUCUGGUGCCUGCUUUGUUAUACAAUCCACAAGCCAUGCCCACUCAUUUACGUUUUGUCUUUGGCUGCUUUUGCGCUACGACAGCAGAACUGAGCAAUUGUGACAUAGACCGUGUGGCCUGCAAAAUCUAAACUUGUUACUAGCUAGCCUUUUAUAGAAAAAUUUUGUGGGGUCCUGACCUUCAGAGAGAACCAUGGGAAGUAAUUAGAGACUGACGAAAUUGCUAGAGAUGGAAGAACUCUCGUCUUCCAAGGAUGAAGAAAUGAAUGUCCAGAGAGGGGAAUAUUAAUCUUUGAUUCAUUGAUUUACUGACUCAUCCAAUAAAUCAAUGAUUCAGAAAACACUUAUUGAGAGCCUAAUGUGUGUCAGGCUUCCUGACUCAAUUUUCACUUCCAAGAGACACCAGGAUUCGAGGCCAGCUACCAAGGCCACAUGGCCGAGGCGGCAGGGCUCUCAGUGCCCUGCAGCUUUGACCAGAGGUCCAGAGCCCACUCCCACCUUCUUCUCUGGGUUCCAGCUGGGAGUUGGACUGUGCCCAGUGCAUAUAAAGUUGGCCAACAGAUUUCCUGCAGACACCUGCUGAUGCAAUCUGGAGUUUCCACAACAGCAUUUGUCCUUCACACCCUUCGCUUCACUGAAGGAGAUAUUAAAUUUUGUGACUUCA